rnacentral:rRNA from 1 species
UACGGGGGGUGCGAGCGUUAAUCGGAAUUACUGGGCGUAAAGCGUGCGUAGGCGGCCUGCCAAGCCAGGUGUGAAAGCCCCGGGCUCAACCUGGGAACGGCACUUGGAACUGGCAAGCUAGAGUUGGGUAGAGGGGAGUGGAAUUUCAGGUGUAGCGGUGAAAUGCGUAGAUAUCUGAAGGAACACGAGUGGCGAAGGCGGCUCCCUGGACCCAAACUGACGCUGAGGUACGAAAGCGUGGGUAGCAAACAGGAUUAGAUA